AUCAAGAAACUGCAUUAAACCAGAAUCUCUAGCCAUUUUUAGCAUAUGUCUUCAAGAAUGAGGACUGCCUCACUCUACUACCAAAUCACCUCAACACUGCUCUUCUUUUAGUUUUCUUCACAGCUCUUCUUACCUUCAGAGAUAGAAUAUCACUUAUUUUUCAAUUUCAGGAAUAGUUACCGUGUGAAAGCUAUCUGCCUCCCCUCUCCCCCCAACUCCACAGAAAACACUCUAUUUUCUCUUCAUCUGAACAGAGAAAUCAGGAGAAGGGAGAAAAAAUUAGCUCUGUUACUCAGUUACUUCUGUUGCUAAUUGAAAUAUCCAAAGAUUGCUAAAGGGUAACAUGGAAGGAGGAAAUACAACUGCAACCAGAGACAGAAGCCUCAUCUGGAGCAACCUGUUUUAAAGCAAUGUCAGUACUUUAAAUUAUAUUCAAGAACAAGGUAAUGGCCAAUGAAAUCUGGCUUACUAUGUAUUAUGGGAUGCAAUUAUUCACGUAAAUCUUUUAUCAAACACUGAAGAACAGAAAAUCAAUGAAUAAUUCUUUCAAAGAAGUAUAAGUGCAAUGAGACAACUGAGGAAUAUCAGCUUUAAACACUUAGAGAACUAUAAUUUUUAAAAAUUAUUAGUCAAUGAAGCAUUAAUUUAAAAAUAGUGCAAUUAUUUAAUUAAUCAACAUUUCAGGCUAUAAUAUGUACACACAUUCUCUAGCAAAUUCAAGUGUUUUGGAAGAAUGUAGGACAUAUAUUAUAAAUCAAUUAGUUUAAAAAUGUUUCUGUAUUCCAUUUACCUUAUUAACCAGUUCUCAUAUAAGAAUAGAACCCUAACAAAGCAAUUUUAUGAUAUAGUCUUUAUAGAGAAUAUUAUGUCCAAUGGCCAUCCAAUCUGCAGACAUUAUACAAACACAUUUCAUAGAGUAGUUGUGAUAUCUGGUCCCACUAGUUUUGAAUAAAAACAAUAUCACUCAAUAUUGACACCUUAAAGACCAUAUUCUAAUGUUCACUAUACAAUUUAACAAUAAACUCAGCGACUUCCCUACACUCCCAUUAUGCCCUCCUUCCUGAGUAUAUAAUCCUGGCUAAGAUUAUUCUUAUCAGUGCAAGAGGAAGCCUAGAAUGCCACUUAAUGAAAGAAAUUCUCAGGAAACUAGGAUUA